UUAGUUUACUUAAAGGGACACUGUAGUCACUAUAAACACUUUGUCUCUUUGAAUUGGUUAUAGUGCCUGGAGUGCCCUGGCACUGUCUCUCCAUUCAGUGUUGCACCAUGUUUGUGCAGUAUGCCACAAAAUAAGAGUCCCUGGCCACCCAUAGUCCGGCCCCUUCUGUAUGUGUAGCUAAGGCAGAGAUUACACACUUCCUUGUUG